UCUUUUUUUUUUUUUAAGAACUGCCAGCCUGAAACCCAUAUUGUGUAUUAAAUUCGAUAAAUUCAACUAUGUAAUUCAAAUGCAUAAACUAUGGAACAAAAAGUGCUGAUAAAGAAUUAAUCUGUAUGUAAAAGUGGAAUUGCAACAAAAUGGCGUAGAUAUGGGACAAGAAAAAUUUUGUUCUCUAUUUCCUCAAAUUUGCAGAACUCGACGGUGGUUGAGAGAUCGUCAACUAAAUAAAUGCCGAGUGUAGAGGAUGGCAGGGGAUAGUCAAAAAAAGAUUCCUGAUGGUUGAAUGAACUGUAAGCUACAUAAAUUUCAUCCCUGAAUGAAAUGAUAUUUUGCAGCUUUGCAACUUUGCCACUGAUGUAAACGUGACUGUUUGCCCGGUCCAGUUUAAGAGUGUAAGGGCUUGUCCUUAACUCUUUAUACUGUGUCGCUUCAUGAAAGGAUGCAGGUAGAGGACCAGUUGCAUGCUGCUUUUUGAGCAGAUGUGGCCUGGUUUUGUGAGGUUUUUUGCAGCUUCUUUGCAUCUCUGAGAAUCUUUUUAUUAUUUGACUCAGAGGGCAUGUUGGUUUCCUCAGAAGUCUUUUGAGUUUGUUCAGGUGAUUCUCAUACUUGAAAGCACUGAAGUUGUCUAGCACGCCAUGCUUUUUUGCAUCAUCUGCAAGAUGUACAAGGCAGUGUGCAUUAUAGGACAGGAAUUGUGGCCCAUACAGUUGACCGAAGUGAUUGACGAAGAGAACCAGUAUGUCAUUGGCAUAAUCACAGUAAUCUUCCAUCAGACUGUUGUUGCACAGGAUGAAGAUUCCCACAAAAAGCAGCAAGAAGUUUUUGUACACCUCUGUGGUAAGGAGAUCUUUCAACAUAACAGGUCCGGUAUACAGUAAAAACUGCCUGAACUCUGUUGCCUUCCACCUGUCAAUUUCCCUCAGUGCCCUUGGUUUCCUUGCGAACUCCAUGGGCACGCUUCUCUGAGCAUUCACUAACCUUUCUGUUAAUGUGUUUAUUUGAAAUCCCGACAGCCUACAAGUGAGAGGACCCAUCUUCAACCACAAGUGGAGAAGUCUUCUCAUGAUUCCAAGGCACACAAGGUGCAUGUAAUCGAGGGGGAUGCCAGAGACCAUAUCCAGGGAAGUUUGUUCAAGGGGUGACGUGCCAUGAUGGUGAUCAGAAUCGGUCUUGUUUCUGAAGCUCUCAUUGGUUCUUAGUGGCAUGUCGCUUCUUGGAAAUGUCAUCCGGUUUUCCAGGUACACUCCAUCCUGUGUGCAUUUUUCGCAUCCAUGAUAGCCUGUGUGACCUUUAAUGUUUUUUAGGAAUGCACGAGCAGGUGCGUCGCAAACCAUCGAAGAAAGUUGUAAAGCUAACCUCACUCCUUCAAACUCAAAUCCAUUACCCAAUUCAUUUACUUCCGUGAUGAAGUCUUCGAGAUACUCGGUCAGUGAGGUAGGUUUACCUGUGCCACAAAAUAAACCUAUUGUCACUGGUUCUUCUUGUCUGAUAUUUUGCAGUGUUCCAAGAAUGGGCCAGAACUGUGUUGACGAACUCUUGUAGAGGGGCAGACCAUCGAUGCUGACCUGAAGCUCCAAUGUGUGAAUGUUGCUCAGAAUCUUGACAUUCUGAUGUAGCACCUCUGUGAUUGAAUUUAGUACUCCAAAAUGGUAAUACUGGCCACCAGCUUUGUGUUGUAUUUGAGGGUUCCCACGCACCGUUCCUAGCAACGUUCUUGAGUCUUUUGGCAGAUUUAAACUAUGUUGACGUAGUAUGUUUAGUAAUGAAUUUAAUGCCACGUGUGAGAUUUUGUUUUCAGUAGCCCAGGUUGCCAGAUCUUCUUCUAGGGAAGUUGGAUCCGUUUCAGACUCCGACUCGGGGUCAGAUUCACUAUCAUCAAGAAGACUUGCCAUAUUGACAGCUUCAGUCUCGUCAAUCUGAGAGAGACAGUCCAUAAAUGUGUCUUCAUCAUCGAUUUGACAUUGACAGGCGUUACGGCAUGCGAUUGGCUGUUCGCUGCUGAUGUCACACUUUCAAGUGCGCGCGCUCCAAGAACUCCAGUUCAAAUCCCAAGUCGACGGAUGGACGGAGUUUGAUCGGCGUCAUGGUACCAGCAAAGCAUGCAUGUCUUGGUUUCGUGAUCUUGACUGUGUGUUGCACUGCCAUCAUCGUACAGGCUCCUUCUGUGAUUCACCAAAGCGCGUCUGAAUUCAAGCUGGAAACGGCCUGUGCUUGGUCUGUCCCAGGGUGUCAUCGUCACUCACGAAGUGCAUUUUAUUCUGCUUACCUGACUCGCGCAGAAUUCUGUCCUGUUUGGUUUCCAUCAUCCAGACACUCUGGCAACUGGGCUGUGUAUGGAGGCCACCAUUUUCUCCCACAAACUCCACUCUCAGCUUUGGAGAUGGUUCAGCCUAGAUGCUCAGAUCUACCACUGGUCAAGCUUCAUUCCCACAUCUGGCACCAACGAUUCAUUAAGUGCAGUCCAUAACCAGUGUCUGCACCUUGUCCAUUGCAAAUGUUAUGGAUUGUUCUAUUAGAGCUCAUUAUAAUCUUUGAGACUGGUGUUAUGUAAAGGCUGUUGUGUGUUGUGAGUAAAGUUCACCCCCCUGUGAAACAGUU